rnacentral:rRNA from 1 species
AGAGUGAACGCUGGCGGUAGGCCUAACACAUGCAAGUCGAACGGCAGCACAGUAGGAGCUUGCUCUUACGGGUGGCGAGUGGCGGACGGGUGAGGAAUACAUCGGAAUCUACCUUUUGGUGGGGGAUAACGUAGGGAAACUUACGCUAAUACCGCAUACGCCCUUCGGGGGAAAGCCGGGGACCAGCAAUGGCCUGGCGCUGAUAGAUGAGCCGAUGUCGGAUUAGCUAGUUGGUGAGGUAAUGGCUCACCAAGGCGACGAUCCGUAGCUGGUCUGAGAGGAUGAUCAGCCACACUGGAACUGAGACACGGUCCAGACUCCUACGGGAGGCAGCAGUGGGAAUAUUGGACAAUGGGCGCAAGCCUGAUCCAGCCAUACCGCGUGGUGAAGAAGCCGUUGGUUAGUAAAGCCCUUUAGUUGGUAAAGAAAGCAGUUCGACUAAGUACCCGGUGUUCUGACGUACCAAAGAAUAAGCACGCUAACUUCGU